GACGAACGCUGGCGGCGCGCCUAACACAUGCAAGUCGAACGGAGCUGAGAGAAGCUUGCUUUUCUUAGCUUAGUGGCGAACGGGUGAGUAACGCGUGAGUAACCUGCCCUGGAGUGGGGGACAACAGUUGGAAACGACUGCUAAUACCGCAUAAGCCCACGAUCCGGCAUCGGAUUGAGGGAAAAGGAUUUAUUCGCUUCAGGAUGGACUCGCGUCCAAUUAGCUAGUUGGUGAGGUAACGGCCCACCAAGGCGACGAUUGGUAGCCGGACUGAGAGGUUGAACGGCCACAUUGGGACUGAGACACGGCCCAGACUCCUACGGGAGGCAGCAGUGGGGGAUAUUGCGCAAUGGGGGAAACCCUGAUGCAGCGACGCCGCGUGGAGGAAGAAGGUUUUCGGAUUGUAAACUCCUGUCGUUAGGGACGAUAAUGACGGUACCUAACAAGAAAGCACCGGCUAACUACGUG
rnacentral:rRNA from 1 species